rnacentral:tRNA from 1 species
ACACCCGUAGUUCAACUGGAAGAACGGCUCUCUUCUAAGGAGUUUGCUGCAAGUUCGAGUCUUGCCGGGUGUACCA